GACGAACGCUGGCGGCGUGCUUAACACAUGCAAGUCGAACGAUGAACCCGGAGCUUGCUCCGGCGGAUUAGUGGCGAACGGGUGAGUAACACGUGAGUAACCUGCCCUUGACUCUGGGAUAACUGCUAGAAAUGGUAGCUAAUACCGGAUACGACCCUCGGUGGCAUCACCAGGGGGUGGAAGGAAUUUCGGUCAAGGAUGGACUCGCGGCCUAUCAGCUAGUUGGUGAGGUAACGGCUCACCAAGGCGACGACGGGUAGCCGGCCUGAGAGGGUGACCGGCCACACUGGGACUGAGACACGGCCCAGACUCCUACGGGAGGCAGCAGUGGGGAAUAUUGCACAAUGGGCGCAAGCCUGAUGCAGCAACGCCGCGUGAGGGAUGACGGCCUUCGGGUUGUAAACCUCUUUUAGUAGGGAAGAAGCGAAAGUGACGGUACCUGCAGAAAAAGCACCGGCUAACUACGUGCCAGCCGCCGCCGUAACAC
rnacentral:rRNA from 1 species